UACGUAGGGUGCAAGCGUUGUCCGGAAUCAUUGGGCGUAAAGCGCGUGUAGGCGGCCCGGUAAGUCCGCUGUGAAAGUCCAGGGCUCAACCCUGGAAUGCCGGUGGAUACUGUCGGGCUCGAGUCCGGAAGAGGCGAGUGGAAUUCCUGGUGUAGCGGUGAAAUGCGCAGAUAUCAGGAGGAACACCAAUGGCGAAGGCAGCUCGCUGGGACGGUACUGACGCUGAGACGCGAAAGCGUGGGGAGCAAACAGG
rnacentral:rRNA from 1 species